AACCUAGCACACCUGCGGUGUGUACCUGCGGAGGGAUCAUUAUUGAAUAAACUUGGUUAAGGUUGUUGCUGGCUCCCUUGGGGGCAUGUGCACACCGACUCCAUUUUGCAACCCCUGUGCACCUAUUGUAGACCCUGAAUGACUUCUCAAGUGGCGCGACUACUUGGUCAGAGAAUUGCUGUGCGAAAGUCGGCUUUUCUUGUAAUUCAGGUCUAUGCUUUACAUAAACUCCAUUAGAAU
rnacentral:misc_RNA from 1 species